AAGUCGUAACAAGGUUUCUGUAGGUGAACCUGCAGAAGGAUCAUUAGUGAAUUGCCUGGGGUUGAGAUACGCACGCUAACACAACGUGCCUCUCCCCCAAUCCACUAUUUAUCCACAAACCCUGUGCAUCGUAUGGAGAAGAGGUUGCGAAUGGCGACCUUUUCAUGGGUCUGCUUGUUUGUUGCCUCUUCUCUCCUCUAAAAAACACGCAUGUUUGUAUGAACGUGAUUGAUGUUGGUUCACAACCAACAAACAAAACACAACUUUCGACAACGGAUCUCUUGGUUCUCC
rnacentral:misc_RNA from 1 species